AUUGAACGCCGGCGGCAGGCCUAACACAUGCAAGUCGAACGAGUGGCGGACGGGUGAGUAAUGCCUGGGAAACUGCCUGAUGGAGGGGGAUAACUACCGGAAACGGUAGCUAACACCGCAUACCAUCAGAUGUGCCCAGAGGGGAUUAGCUAGGUGGUGGGGUAACGGCUCACCAAGGCGACGAUCCCUAGCUGGUCUGAGAGGAUGACCAGCCACACUAGAACUAAGCCACGGUCCACACUCCUACGGUAUGCAGCAGUGGGGAAUAUUGCACAAUUAGCGCGAUCCUGCUACAGCAAUGCCGGGUGUAUGAAGACGGCCUUCGGAUUGUAAAGUACUUUCCGCGGAGAGGCGUUUCCCGCAGACGAUGCCCCGGCUAACACCGUGCCAGCAGCCGCGGUCCUUC
rnacentral:rRNA from 1 species